rnacentral:rRNA from 1 species
AGAGUUUGAUCAUGGCUCAGGAUGAACGCUAGCUACAGGCUUAACACAUGCAAGUCGAGGGGAAACGAUAUUGGAAGCUUGCUUCCGAUAGGCGUCGACCGGCGUACGGGUGAGUAACGCGUAUCCAACCUGCCCACCACUUGGGGAUAACCUUGCGAAAGUAAGACUAAUACCCCAAUGACGUCUCUAGAAGACAUCUGAAAGAGAUUAAAGAUUUAUCGGUGAUGGAUGGGGAUGCGUCUGAUUAGCUUGUUGGCGGGGUAACGGGCCCACCCAAGGCGACGAUCAGUAGGGGUUCUGAGAGGAAGGCCCCCCACCAUUGGAACUGAGACACGGUCCAAACUCAUACGGGAGGCAGCA